AGAGUUUGAUCAUGGCUCAGGACGAACGCUGGCGGCGUGCCUAACACAUGCAAGUCGAGCGGAGACAGUGAGUAGCUUGCUAUGAGCUGUUUUAGCGGCGGACGGGUGAGUAACGCGUGAGCAACCUUUCCCAGACAGGGGAAUAACACACCGAAAGGUGUACUAAUACCGCAUAAGACCACGGGAUCACAUGGUUCUGGGUAAAGUAAUUAUUACGGUUUGGGGGUUUGGGGGUCGGUCGUCCGGUCCGGUACGUUAAGGUUAAGGUU
rnacentral:rRNA from 1 species